rnacentral:rRNA from 1 species
AUUGAACGCUGGCGGCAUGCCUUACACAUGCAAGUCGAACGGUAACAGGUCUUCGGAUGCUGACGAGUGGCGAACGGGUGAGUAAUACAUCGGAACGUGCCUAGUAGUGGGGGAUAACUACUCGAAAGAGUGGCUAAUACCGCAUGAGAUCUACGGAUGAAAGCAGAGGAUCGCAAGACCUUGUGCCACUAGAGGGGCCGGUUGCAGAUUAGGUAGUUGGUGGGAUAAAAGCUGACCAAGCCGACGAUCUGUAGAUGGUAUGGGAGGACGAUCAGCCACACUGGGACUGAGACACGGCCCAGACUCCUACGGGAGGCAGCAGUGGGGAAUUUUGGACAAUGGGCGCAAGCCUGAUCCAGCAAUGCCGCGUGCAGGAUGAAGGCCUUCGGGUUGUAAACUGCUUUUGUACGGAACGAAAAGCCCCGGGUUAAUACCCUGGGGUCAUGACGGUACCGUAAGAAUAAGCACCGGCUAACUACGUGCCAGCCGCCGCGGUAA